GAUCGAUAACAUGUCCCCAAACGUCAAAAAUACAGGGAAAAGGAAACAAAAAAUAGAAAAAAGAGAUAUUUAGUUAUUAAAAAUUCUAAUUUUUCUGGUAAAUUUAUUGUAUCUUUUGUUGAAACUAACAUAUUUUUUACACUGGUGCAUGAAAAAAGAGAGUGGAAUUAAUAAUUUUGUUUUAUUUAAUAGAUAGAUAUAUAUACGUAGUUUAAUUGCUACAAGAUAUUAAUAUUUCGUAAAGACAAAUCCUAAAGACUUUUGAACUAAAAACCUUCUUCUUGGGUCGUUCCGCGUUAAAUCGUUUUCCUUAUUUUGAUCCCUUCUUAUACGCAUUGAUUUGGUCCUUUUAAACACCAAUCUUCUUCCGCGUCUCUUCUACUCUACUCCAUUCCUCAUCCAUUCAGGAAAGUUUAUUACAUAACCAACCCAAAUAUUCGUUUGUCCACAAGUUUUUAAGAGACAAUGUUCGGUUCGAAGAAAUCACCAGCAAACCUUCCCAAGCACAACUCUGCUGAUCCUGGAUUCCACAAACCAAACCCGUUUGAUUCAGAUGAUACCACCCUUAACCCCUCCAAGAGAACUUCCUCUGAACCCUCUUUAGCUAUCACGACCAACCCUUUUGAUGAGGUUGAGAAAGGGUCUAGUAGUAGCUCUUCCAAGCAGUCAUUGACUUCGAACUCGAGACACCAGUACAAGAACAAUUUCAGGGAUUCAGGAGGUGUUGAGAACCAGUCUGUUCAGGAGCUUGAAGGCUAUGCUGUGUACAAAGCUGAAGAGACUACAAAGUCUGUUCAAGGUUGUCUGAAAGUAGCUGAAGAGAUAAGGUCAGAUGCUACUAGAACUUUGGUCAUGUUACAUGACCAGGGUGAGCAAAUCACGAGGACGCAUCAUAAAGCUGUUGAAAUUGAUCAUGAUCUCAGUAGAGGCGAGAAGCUUCUUGGAAGCCUUGGAGGUAUGUUUUCAAAGACAUGGAAGCCGAAGAAGACUCGCCCUAUAAAUGGUCCUGUCAUAUCUAGAGAUCACUCACCAACGAGAAGAGUUAACCACUUAGAGAAAAGGGAAAAACUGGGACUGAGUCCAGCACCAAAAGCACAGUCAAGAACCAGAGAACCUCUCCCUGAAUCAGCUGAUGCCUAUCAGAGAGUGGAGAUGGAAAAAGCUAAGCAAGAUGAUGGACUUUCUGAUUUGAGUGAUCUACUAGGGGAGCUAAAGAACAUGGCAGUUGACAUGGGAAGUGAAAUGGAAAAGCAGAAAGAUGGUCUUGAUCAUCUUCAUGAUGAUGUUGACGAACUCAAUUACAGAGUGCAACAAUCAAACCAACGUGCCAGCCGGUUGCUCAGGAAGUAGAUGAACAUAGUUAUAUGUUCAUUACACUCCUUCCUCUCGUGUUUCUUCAGUGAACUAGUUGCUUAUAUACGUUUCUGUCUAUGUUUAUAUUGGAUAUUGAUUAUGAAAGAACAAAAAUCUUAAUAGAAUACAAGCAAACAUAUACUUUCUCAAGAAAUUCUGACAAACAGAAAGAUGAUGUAUGAAUCUCUCUCAUAGUUUCAUAAUCUUAUUUAAGUUUUUGUAAAAAAAAAUUGAUCUUUGUUGUGCUUA